AACGCGAAGAACCUUACCAGGUCUUGACAUCCCUCUGACCGGUCAGUAACGGGACCUUUCCUUCGGGACAGAGGAGACAGGUGGUGCAUGGUUGUCGUCACCUCUUGUCGUGAGAUAUUGGGUUAAAUCCCCCAACGAGAGCACCCCUCUUGCUUAUUUUUGCCAGCGUUAAGCUGGGCACUCUAGGGAGACUGCCGGGGAUAACCUGGAGGAAGGGGGGGAUGACGUCAAAUCAUCAUGCCCCUUAUGAUCUGGGCUACACACGUGCUACAAUGGGGAGUACAAAGGGAAGCAAAACUGUGAGGUGGAGCAAAUCCCAAAAAGGUCAUCUCAGUUCGGAUUGUAGUCUGCAACUCGCCUACAUGAAGCUGGAAUCGCUAGUAAUCGCGAAUCACAAUGUCGCGGUGAAUACGUUCCCGGGUCUUGUACACACCG
rnacentral:rRNA from 1 species